GUUAUAGAACCACUGCAGUAGGCUACAUAAAGUCUGGGGGUUCUCCAGGAAAUGCUGGAUAUCACUGCAGUAGGUUACAUAAAGUCUGGGGGUUCUUCAGGAGAUGUUGGAGAACCACUGCAGUAGGCUAAAUAAAGUCUGAGGGUUUUCGAGGAGAGGUUAGAGAACCACUGCAGUAGGCUGCAUAAGGUCUGGGGGUUCUCCAGGAGAGGUUAUAGAACCACUGCAGUCGGCUACAUAACGUCUGGGGGUUCUUCAGGAGAGGUUAUAGAACCACUGCAGUAGGUUACAUAAAGUCUGGGGGUUCUCCAGGAGAGGUUAUAGAACCACUGCAGUAGGCUGCAUAAAGUCUGGGGGUUCUCCAGGAGAGGUUAUAGAACCACUGCAGUAGGCUACAUGUACUUCUGUUAUGAUGUGUUCUGUAUUUUGUAUUUUGCAG
rnacentral:lncRNA from 1 species